rnacentral:rRNA from 1 species
UUAAGCGACUAAGCGUACACGGUGGAUGCCCUGGCAGUCAGAGGCGAUGAAGGGCGUGCUAAUCUGCGAUAAGCGCCGGUAAGGUGAUAUGAACCGUUAUAACCGGCGAUACCCGAAUGGGGAAACCCAGUGUGACUCGUCACACUAUCAUUAACUGAAUCCAUAGGUUAAUGAGGCGAACCGGGGGAACUGAAACAUCUAAGUACCCCGAGGAAAAGAAAUCAACCGAGAUUCCCCCAGUAGCGGCGAGCGAACGGGGAGGAGCCCAGAGCCUGAAUCAGCAUGUGUGUUAGUGGAAGCGUCUGGAAAGGCGCGCGAUACAGGGUGACAGCCCCGUACACAAAAGCGCAUGUGCUGUGAGCUCGAUGAGUAGGGCGGGACACGUGGUAUCCUGUCUGAAUAUGGGGGGACCAUCCUCCAAGGCUAAAUACUCCUGACUGACCGAUAGUGAACCAGUACCGUGAGGGAAAGGCGAAAAGAACCCCGGCGAGGGGAGUGAAAAAGAACCUGAAACCGUGUACGUACAAGCAGUGGGAGCCCCACCACUAAGCCAGUGGUGAACUCCACAUACGCAUCCUUUGCUGAGGAUGCGGUUAACGGAGCGAAAGCGACGUUCAACCGCAAAAGAAGCAGAGGGGGCUUAGUGGUGGGGUGACUGCGUACCUUUUGUAUAAUGGGUCAGCGACUUAUAUUCUGUAGCAAGGUUAACCGAAUAGGGGAGCCGGAGGGAAACCGAGUCUUAAUUGGGCGUUAAGUUGCAGGGUAUAGACCCGAAACCCGGUGAUCUAGCCAUGGGCAGGUUGAAGGUUGGGUAACACUAACUGGAGGACCGAACCGACUAAUGUUGAAAAAUUAGCGGAUGACCUGUGGCUGGGGGUGAAAGGCCAAUCAAACCGGGAGAUAGCUGGUUCUCCCCGAAAGCUAUUUAGGUAGCGCCUCGUGAAUUCAUCUCCGGGGGUAGAGCACUGUUUCGGCUAGGGGGCCAUCCCGGCUUACCAACCCGAUGCAAACUGCGAAUACCGGAGAAUGUUAUCACGGGAGACACACGGCGGGUGCUAACGUCCGUCGUGAAGAGGGAAACAACCCAGACCGCCAGCUAAGGUCCCAAAGUCAUGGUUAAGUGGGAAACGAUGUGGGAAGGCCCAGACAGCCAGGAUGUUGGCUUAGAAGCAGCCAUCAUUUAAAGAAAGCGUAAUAGCUCACUGGUCGAGUCGGCCUGCGCGGAAGAUGUAACGGGGCUAAACCAUGCACCGAAGCUGCGGCAGCGACACUAUGUGUUGUUGGGUAGGGGAGCGUUCUGUAAGCCUGUGAAGGUGGCCUGUGAGGGUUGCUGGAGGUAUCAGAAGUGCGAAUGCUGACAUAAGUAACGAUAAAGCGGGUGAAAAGCCCGCUCGCCGGAAGACCAAGGGUUCCUGUCCAACGUUAAUCGGGGCAGGGUGAGUCGACCCCUAAGGCGAGGCCGAAAGGCGUAGUCGAUGGGAAACGGGUUAAUAUUCCCGUACUUGGUGUUACUGCGAAGGGGGGACGGAGAAGGCUAUGUUGGCCGGGCGACGGUUGUCCCGGUUUAAGCGUGUAGGCUGGUUUUCCAGGCAAAUCCGGAAAAUCAAGGCUGAGGCGUGACGACGAGGCACUACGGUGCUGAAGCAACAAAUGCCCUGCUUCCAGGAAAAGCCUCUAAGCAUCAGGUAACAUCAAAUCGUACCCCAAACCGACACAGGUGGUCAGGUAGAGAAUACCAAGGCGCUUGAGAGAACUCGGGUGAAGGAACUAGGCAAAAUGGUGCCGUAACUUCGGGAGAAGGCACGCUGACACGUAGGUGAAGUGAUUUACUCAUGGAGCUGAAGUCAGUCGAAGAUACCAGCUGGCUGCAACUGUUUAUUAAAAACACAGCACUGUGCAAACACGAAAGUGGACGUAUACGGUGUGACGCCUGCCCGGUGCCGGAAGGUUAAUUGAUGGGGUCAGCGCAAGCGAAGCUCCUGAUCGAAGCCCCGGUAAACGGCGGCCGUAACUAUAACGGUCCUAAGGUAGCGAAAUUCCUUGUCGGGUAAGUUCCGACCUGCACGAAUGGCGUAAUGAUGGCCAGGCUGUCUCCACCCGAGACUCAGUGAAAUUGAACUCGCUGUGAAGAUGCAGUGUACCCGCGGCAAGACGGAAAGACCCCGUGAACCUUUACUAUAGCUUGACACUGAACAUUGAGCCUUGAUGUGUAGGAUAGGUGGGAGGCUUUGAAGUGUGGACGCCAGUCUGCAUGGAGCCGACCUUGAAAUACCACCCUUUAAUGUUUGAUGUUCUAACGUGGACCCGUGAUCCGGGUUGCGGACAGUGUCUGGUGGGUAGUUUGACUGGGGCGGUCUCCUCCUAAAGAGUAACGGAGGAGCACGAAGGUUGGCUAAUCCUGGUCGGACAUCAGGAGGUUAGUGCAAUGGCAUAAGCCAGCUUGACUGCGAGCGUGACGGCGCGAGCAGGUGCGAAAGCAGGUCAUAGUGAUCCGGUGGUUCUGAAUGGAAGGGCCAUCGCUCAACGGAUAAAAGGUACUCCGGGGAUAACAGGCUGAUACCGCCCAAGAGUUCAUAUCGACGGCGGUGUUUGGCACCUCGAUGUCGGCUCAUCACAUCCUGGGGCUGAAGUAGGUCCCAAGGGUAUGGCUGUUCGCCAUUUAAAGUGGUACGCGAGCUGGGUUUAGAACGUCGUGAGACAGUUCGGUCCCUAUCUGCCGUGGGCGCUGGAGAACUGAGGGGGGCUGCUCCUAGUACGAGAGGACCGGAGUGGACGCAUCACUGGUGUUCGGGUUGUCAUGCCAAUGGCACUGCCCGGUAGCUAAAUGCGGAAGAGAUAAGUGCUGAAAGCAUCUAAGCACGAAACUUGCCCCGAGAUGAGUUCUCCCUGAGACUUAGAGUCUCCUGAAGGAACGUUGAAGACGACGACGUUGAUAGGCCGGGUGUGUAAGCGCAGCGAUGCGUUGAGCUAACCGGUACUAAUGAACCGUGAGGCUUAACCUU